rnacentral:rRNA from 1 species
AUUGAACGCUAGCGGCAGGCUUAACACAUGCAAGUCGAGCGGGGGAAGGUAGCUUGCUACCGGACCUAGCGGCGGACGGGUGAGUAAUGCUUAGGAAUCUGCCUAUUAGUGGGGGACAACAUCUCGAAAGGGAUGCUAAUACCGCAUACGUCCUACGGGAGAAAGCAGGGGAUCUUCGGACCUUGCGCUAAUAGAUGAGCCUAAGUCGGAUUAGCUAGUUGGUGGGGUAAAGGCCUACCGAGGCGACGAUCUGUAGCGGGUCUGAGAGGAUGAUCCGCCACACUGGGACUGAGACACGGCCCAGACUCCUAAGGGAGGCAGCAGUGGGGAAUAUUGGACAAUGGGGGGAACCCUGAUCCAGCCAUGCCGCGUGUGUGAAGAAGGCCUUAUGGUUGUAAAGCACUUUAAGCGAGGAGGAGGCUACUCUAGUUAAUACCUAGGGAUAGUGGACGUUACUCGCAGAAUAAGCACCGGCUAACUCUGUGCCAGCCGCCGCAGUAA